rnacentral:lncRNA from 1 species
GAAAGUUGUCUUGAUGAGAAGAAAGCCAGUGAUGACAGAACCCAGACGUCCCUGAGCUGGCAGAAGAGCGAUAAUGUUGGUUGUGUUGACAGUUGACAGUCACAGACAAGGACAUGGUGCCUUUGAGGCGUUUGCUCUCAAGGGCAAAGAGAAGCAGAUGCUGUCAGAGAGCCUUCUCAUGCUCCAUUGUAAGCAAGAAUGGCAGAGCCAGGAAUGCCCAUGAGUGUCAGCCGCCAGGAGCUUGGACAACCCCAGAUUAACCCCUGGGUAAGAAGACUGGAUCCAUUUGCCAUAGUUAAGAUCUGCCAUCUGGGUUGAGCUUCCGAUGGUUACAGGAAACACAGCGCGGCUGAUAGAAUGUCCUAAGGAACAGCUGAGCACGCUCCCUGCUUGACAUGAGCACAGACCUCAUUAGCUAAUGCCUUUCACAUCUGGGCAGAAGCAACACAAAUGAAUUCACAGUGUGAUGUGGUUUAAACA